rnacentral:rRNA from 1 species
UACGUAGGGUGCGAGCGUUGUCCGGAAUUAUUGGGCGUAAAGAGCUCGUAGGCGGUUUGUCGCGUCUGCUGUGAAAGCCCGGGGCUCAACCCCGGGUCUGCAGUGGGUACGGGCAGGCUAGAGUGUGGUAGGGGAGACUGGAAUUCCUGGUGUAGCGGUGGAAUGCGCAGAUAUCAGGAGGAACACCGAUGGCGAAGGCAGGUCUCUGGGCCGUUACUGACGCUGAGGAGCGAAAGCAUGGGUAGCGAACAGGAUUAGAUACCCGGGUA